CUCGUAGGCGGGGUUGCGCGUCGUGGAGUAAAUUUCUCUGCUCAACGGAGAAAUCAUCUGCGAUACGGCAACUCUUGAGGACAGGAGAGGAAAGCGGAAUUCCGAGUGUAGCGGUGAAAUGCGUAGAUAUUCGGAGGAACACCAGUGGCGAAGGCGGCUUUCUGGCCUGAUUCUGACGCUGAGGAGCGAAAGCCAGGGUAGCGAAC
rnacentral:rRNA from 1 species